GAUGAACGCUGGCGGCGUGCCUAAUACAUGCAAGUCGAGCGAACAGAUGAGGAGCUUGCUCCUCUGACGUUAGCGGCGGACGGGUGAGUAACACGUGGAUAACCUACCUAUAAGACUGGGAUAACUUCGGGAAACCGGAGCUAAUACCGGAUAAUAUAUUGAACCGCAUGGUUCAAUAGUGAAAGACGGUUUUGCUGUCACUUAUAGAUGGAUCCGCGCCACAUUAGCUAGUUGGUAAGGUAACGGCUUACCAAGGCGACGAUGCGUAGCCGACCUGAGAGGGUGAUCGGCCACACUGGAACUGAGACACGGUCCAGACUCCUACGGGAGGCAGCAGUAGGGAAUCUUCCGCAAUGGGCGAAAGCCUGACGGAGCAACGCCGCGUGAGUGAUGAAGGUCUUCGGAUCGUAAAACUCUGUUAUUAGGGAAGAACAAAUGUGUAAGUAACUAUGCACGUCUUGACGGUACCUAAUCAGAAAGCCACGGCUAACUACGUG
rnacentral:rRNA from 1 species